GAUGAACGCUGGCGGCGUGCCUAAUACAUGCAAGUCGAGCGAAUGGAUUAAGAGCUUGCUCUUAUGAAGUUAGCGGCGGACGGGUGAGUAACACGUGGGUAACCUGCCCAUAAGACUGGGAUAACUCCGGGAAACCGGGGCUAAUACCGGAUAACAUUUUGAACCGCAUGGUUCGAAAUUGAAAGGCGGCUUCGGCUGUCACUUAUGGAUCGACCCGCGUCGCAUUAGCUAGUUGGUGAGGUAACGGCUCACAAAGGCAACGAUGCGUAGCCGACCUGAGAGGGUGAUCGGCCGCACUGGGACUGAGACACGGCCCAGACUCCUACGGGAGGCAGCAGUAGGGAAUCUUCCGCAAUGGACGAAAGUCUGACGGAGCAACGCCGCGUGAGUGAUGAAGGCUUUCGGGUCGUAAAACUCUGUUGUUAGGGAAGAACAAGUGCUAGUUGAAUAAGCUGGCACCUUGACGGUACCUAACCAGAAAGCCACGGCUAACUACGUGCCAGCAGCCGCGGUAA
rnacentral:rRNA from 1 species